GAUGAACGCUGGCGGCGUGCUUAACGCAUGCAAGUCGAACGGGAUCCCAGGAGCUUGCUCCUGGGUGAGAGUGGCGAACGGGUGAGUAAUGCGUGACCGACCUGCCCCAUACACCGGAAUAGCUCCUGGAAACGGGUGGUAAUGCCGGAUGCUCCAGUUGACCGCAUGGUCCUCUGGGAAAGAUUCAUCGGUAUGGGAUGGGGUCGCGUCCUAUCAGCUUGAUGGCGGGGUAACGGCCCACCAUGGCUUCGACGGGUAGCCGGCCUGAGAGGGCGACCGGCCACAUUGGGACUGAGAUACGGCCCAGACUCCUACGGGAGGCAGCAGUGGGGAAUAUUGCACAAUGGGCGCAAGCCUGAUGCAGCGACGCCGCGUGCGGGAUGACGGCCUUCGGGUUGUAAACCGCUUUUGACUGGGAGCAAGCCCUUCGGGGUGAGUGUACCUUUCGAAUAAGCACCGGCUA
rnacentral:rRNA from 1 species